GCUGCUUGUCUGUUCAGGAGAAGUCUUACACAGACUUCAUCACCUAAAGGCAAUUACGACAGGCAAAGAAAGCACAUAAAAGGGAAAGCAAAGAAAGGGCCAAAUGUAAUUUCAACUCCUUAACACUUAAGGAGUAGUUACAUUUAUACAGCCCUAAAAUUAUUUCGGCCCUUUGAAGGCAACCAUCAGCUGAUGUGGCCCCCCAUGAAAAUGAGUGUGACACCUGGGCUAGAAUCUGUCAGAAGCAACUGUGAGUCCGAAAAUGAUCCUACGCCUAAAGAUACUGGGCAAAGGGAAAUUAUGACAUGUGGCUCCUUCUUGUCCCAGUGUAUUAUAACCACUGUCCAUUAUAAUAUAAAAUUUUUGUAACUAUUCUUUAAAGAUCAAAUUCUUAGCUUUUUAUUUAAAAUCAAUAAUUUCUGCAGGAGGAUAAUUCUUUUAACCCAAGAAAGUUCAAAUUAAAUUACUGCUCAGUUAUAGGAGCCGCUAUAUGGUUAUAGUAACUGCUAGAUGGCUCUGGAUAUCUGGCACAACUCUAGUUUGCCACAUGUAAGUUCAUUUUUAAAAUUUAAAUUAACAUUUUCCAUAGUAUUCUUGUUAUAAAAACGGUAUCUGUUCAUUGUUGGAAGUCAGAAAAUAGAGAUAAGCAAAAAAUAAAAAUGUUUAAAAAUCAUCCAUGACCUACCUAUCCAUUACCACCGUUAACAUCUCCCUUCUAGAACUUUUAUUCAGUUUCUGGUUUUUCUUCAUUCUCAUUUUAAAUAAGAGAAUCCCAAAUGUACAGAGACUUCAUUAUAAACUGUUCCGAACCCUUUUUUAGAAAGUAAAAUACGUCAUCUCAACUUAGAUUUUGGUUCGUUUUAAAGUUUAAUCUG